CAGUCGCCGCGGUAAUACGUAGGGUGCAAGCGUUAAUUGGAAUUACUGGGCGUAAAGCGUGCGCAGGCGGUUAUAUAAGACAGAUGUGAAAUCCCCGGGCUCAACCUGGGAACUGCAUUUGUGACUGUAUAGCUAGAGUACGGCAGAGGGGGAUGGAAUUCCGCGUGUAGCAGUGAAAUGCGUAGAUAUGCGGAGGAACACCGAUGGCGAAGGCAAUCCCCUGGGCCUGUACUGACGCUCAUGCACGAAAGCGUGGGGAGCAAACAGGAUUAGAUACCCCCGUAGUCCCUGUCUCUUAUAC
rnacentral:rRNA from 1 species